UACAGAGGGGGCAAGCGUUGUUCGGAAUUACUGGGCGUAAAGGGCGCGUAGGCGGCCCGCUAAGUCGAACGUGAAAUCCCUGGGCUCAACCCAGGAACUGCGUCCGAUACUGGCGGGCUUGAAUCCGGGAGAGGGAUGCGGAAUUCCAGGUGUAGCGGUGAAAUGCGUAGAUAUCUGGAGGAACACCGGUGGCGAAGGCGGCAUCCUGGACCGGCAUUGACGCUGAGGCGCGAAAGCCAGGGGAGCAAACGGG
rnacentral:rRNA from 1 species